UGGGCUAAAGCGUCGUAGCUGGCCGCACAAGUCCGUCGGGAAAUCCGCCCGCUCAACGGGCGGCCGUCCGGCGGAACCUGUGUGGCUUGGGACCGGGAGGCCUGAGGGGUACGAUCGGGGUAGGAGUGAAAUCCUGUAAUCCCGCUCGGACCGCCGAUGGGGAAACCACCUCAGGAGAACGGAUCCGACAGUGAGGGACGAAAGCCAGGUUCUCGAACC
rnacentral:rRNA from 1 species